rnacentral:rRNA from 1 species
GUCCACGCCCUAAACGAUGUCAACUAGUUGUCGGGGAAGCAAUUCCUUGGUAACGCAGCUAACGCGUGAAGUUGACCGCCUGGGGAGUACGGUCGCAAGAUUAAAACUCAAAGGAAUUGACGGGGACCCGCACAAGCGGUGGAUGAUGUGGAUUAAUUCGAUGCAACGCGAAAAACCUUACCUACCCUUGACAUGUCCAGAACCUCGAUGAAAGUUGAGGGUGCCCGAAAGGGAAUUGGAACACAGGUGCUGCAUGGCUGUCGU